CAUUACAGUCGGUAAAAAAAUAGCAAAAUUAUCAGUGAUACAUUUUUGGAAUAUUUUUCUAAAUUGCAAUGUGUAGCCCUCUUCAAUGUUUGCCAAGUUAUAAAGAACCUCCGCCAUGCGUUCCGUGUUAUCGUGUCUCAGGUCCAACCUGCCUACCGUGCGGCAUAGACAACGUCACACUCCGGCGGCCCCUGAUCGUGGGUGACAGUUGCUUUGAGUACCGACCCACGUCCUGGCCUGGCAUGCUUUUGAAUAACCAAGACAAACACAUACGAUAUCAACUUAUUAAUUUUGAACGACCGGUGCAGCCCCACUACCCAUCCUGUGCGCCAUCGUAUUGUCAACGCCGAUAAAAUAACGAGCGAACUA